GCUGGCGACCAUAGCAAGAGUGAACCACCUGAUCCCUUCCCGAACUCAGAAGUGAAACCUCUUAGCGCUGAUGGUAGUGUGGGAUUACCUAUGUGAGAGUAAGUCAUCGCCAGCU
rnacentral:rRNA from 1 species